AGUGAACGCUGGCGGUAGGCCUAACACAUGCAAGUCGAACGGCAGCACGGUAAGAGCUUGCUCUUACGGGUGGCGAGUGGCGGACGGGUGAGGAAUACAUCGGAAUCUACUUUUUAGUGGGGGCUAACGUAGGGAAACUUACGCUAAUACCGCAUACGACCUACGGGUGAAAGCAGGGGAUCUUCGGCCCUUGCGCGAUUGAAUGAGCCGAUGUCGGAUUAGCUAGUUGGCGGGGUAAAGGCCCACCAAGGCGACGAUCCGUAGCUGGUCUGAGAGGAUGAUCAGCCACACUGGAACUGAGACACGGUCCAGACUCCUACGGGAGGCAGCAGUGGGGAAUAUUGGACAAUGGGCGCAAGCCUGAUCCAGCCAUACCGCGUGGGUGAAGAAGGCCUUCGGGUUGUAAAGCCCUUUUGUUGGGAAAGAAAAGCAGCAGGUUAAUACCCCGCUGUUCUGACGGUACCCAAAGAAUAAGCACCGGCUAACUUCGUG
rnacentral:rRNA from 1 species